GACGAACGCUGGCGGCGUGCUUAACACAUGCAAGUCGAACGGAAAGGCCCUGCUUUUGUGGGGUGCUCGAGUGGCGAACGGGUGAGUAACACGUGAGUAACCUGCCCUUGACUUUCGGAUAACUUCAGGAAACUGGGGCUAAUACCGGAUAGGAGCUCCUGCUGCAUGGUGGGGGUUGGAAAGUUUCGGCGGUUGGGGAUGGACUCGCGGCUUAUCAGCUUGUUGGUGGGGUAGUGGCUUACCAAGGCUUUGACGGGUAGCCGGCCUGAGAGGGUGACCGGCCACAUUGGGACUGAGAUACGGCCCAGACUCCUACGGGAGGCAGCAGUGGGGAAUAUUGCACAAUGGGCGGAAGCCUGAUGCAGCAACGCCGCGUGCGGGAAGACGGCCUUCGGGUUGUAAACCGCUUUCGCCUGUGACGAAGCGUGAGUGACGGUAAUGGGUAAAGAAGCACCGGCUAACUACGUG
rnacentral:rRNA from 1 species